AAGUCACUCAUCCAAGGCUUAUCCAAACUACUUAGGAAAAUCUCAUUAAAUCAGGCUCCCCUAAUUAGAAAUUAGAUAAUUCUGACAGGAGCAAAGCUAAAGUUUACCUUUGUACCAUCUGUAAAAAAAUAUUUUUGCAAAGCAAAGGAAUAACAUAAACAAGUCUUAAUGAUUUUCUAAAUCUAAAGUUCCAGGAUCAAUUCAAUAUUCUCCUAAGUAUCUUGACAGCAAGUUGUCAACCUUAAAGGUAUGACACAGUGAUGCAACACGGGCGAUCUGAGUCUACUUCUGGCUGCAUCUUGGGCAACUUAAUGUAUUUUUGCCUCCAUUUCUUCAUCUGUAAAAUGGAAAUAAUAAUGCCACUUUCACCUAUGAGUUACAGCAAUAUAAAAAGUGUACAAGUUUGGGGAGUUUUGGGGGUAGAAUGUUUCCCCAGUCUUCCAUCAUCUAGUCUGAAGUCUCUAAAAUAAGACUCACAUCAGAAAAAUGAGAUAUGGAAAACCAUUAACAGCAAAGUCUCCAAGCAUGGCUGAAACAGUACACUUGCCACUGGCAUGUUCAGGGCUCCUGGCUGAUUUUUUUCUAAACUCUGUUGAUUAGCAUGAAGAUUUGCAUUGCCGUUUCAUAAAUCUCCUUAUUUUCAUUUGUACAAGUGGAAGACUUAGGAUAUGUGAAAAAAGAGCCAUUUUUAACCUUGCACUUAAGUGGAUCUUACUUCAAGGUGUCAAUACCUAAAGUGGGUCUCCACAAUGAUGCUAAAUGUUGCCUUUCAGGCAGGUUAGAGGAUGCUCAGUUUUGGUGUGUGGGAAGGUGUUGUGGCUUGCUGACAGCCAUCCAUAUCAUGGCAGAUGCUGAGACUCUGAAACAAUACAUGUAAGUUUGGAUUUCUAGAGCACCUUUCCACUGAAGAACUCAAAGCUGAUUCACAUUCAUUGUCUCAUCAGUCUAUCCAAAUGUCCAAUGAGAAGCAGAAUGAAAAAGGGUGUUGUCAUCCUUAUUUCACAGAUAAUAGACUAACAGAAGGCACAAAAUCCAAAAAUGACUUGCUUUCCUGCUGGCCUGUGACCCUUUGAGGAAGGCCCCUAUAAAAAGGGAGGCACGAAAACUGGAACUAGAACCGCCUCUGCUGCUUUCCAGUCCAGUCUUAAACACUGAACUGAUGCCUCUUUUUUUCAUCCAUGAUGACAACAGGUUGGUCUGUUUGGGUUUAUAUUAUCUUCUUGGCUUUGCUCUGUAGACAUAUAGAAAGACAUUAGCCUCAAUUUUCUGCAGAACAGUCCUCAUCUUACUUCUUUGUUUUGACUAUUGCAACGUAACAGUGCCUUUUAUCCAGUAUUUUCAAGCAAGCCUUGAUCAGUUUAAUCAUGGAUUAACUCACAACCUCAGAUAGACAAUCUACUAAUUCACAGAUACUUUAUGUAAUAAGCAGUAAAACAACUCACAUAUGUACCCGCCAACCUGGAAGCAAUGACCACUUCUGGACAAUGACAUGCAGCCUACCCAGCUAACAUGUAUGCAGAAACCCUCUCCUAUACUUCAUAUCUAAGCCAGACACUGAACAAUGCAAAUGCACUCAGCUCUGCGUCGUGCCUAUUAACUCGUCUGCUACCAGUGCAUUAUUGAAACCAGUGUCAUUGUCAGAAUCUCUCACUUUACUGAGGCUCUUAAAAGAAAUGGCAUUUUCAAGGCCCAACAACCCUGAAAUACAUGAAGAUUUCACACAAUUGGAAGGACGAUUGCCCAUCUUUAAAAUAGGAGAAAUCCUAAUUUCACAAAUACUCUGUAAUGAGGAAGAUGCACACACACUCCAAAUGCUUUUUCUUUAACUAGAGAAAAAAAUGAGACUCAUUACUUCUUGCAGUUUCAAAAGAUGUGAAGUCCCCUGAGAGGGUGUUUUUCAUUGACCCAUCACACACGUACGCAUAAAAUACUCACUUCACCUGGUUAAGUUAAUACAGACUCAAAUGGCAGGACUUAUUUUGCAACUAGAUUGCAAGAAGAUAUUUUUCAAUAUAUCCAUAGCCACCCCCAAGAACAACAACAAAAAGCCUCCAGAACUGAAAAUUGUCUCUUUGCUUCAUUACAUCUAAAUGAUCAGAUUCAUUCCAGUCUCAAUUCUCAAACUUCCCUCCCUUUUUUUAUUCCUCUUUCUUUUUAAGGGACCCUAUUAUAAGGAGGAAAAACAAAAUGGAACAAAGCUACAAUUCAAUGCUCAUUUUAAGGUUUCCAGUUAUAACAGUGCUCCUGGGCAUGACUAUUAUAUAUUGCCUUCUUUGGGAAACUGUUGAUCUUUUGAUGUUUAUCAUUUCUUUAUAUAAACUGUAAAAGGGAGCUUUGUGAAGAACAAGACUUUGCCUCUAACUAAGGUCUAUAUUAAAACUCAGCCCAGGCCAUGACUGGAAAUGGAGCUUGUGGACUCAAACUAUUCCCUCACUGGCCCCUGCCCACAUCAUAAAAUCAGUAAGCUAUUUGGCAUAGAAGAAAAGAGAUGGCAAAGCGUGAGAACUAAAAGCCGGCCGACCAUGUACCUAAGAGCCAUGAAUAUAAACACAGAAGGAAGGGUUAGCUAAGCUCUAGAAGGUGGCAAGGGGAACAUCAGAGGUUUAUGUGAUAUUCAGUGUUCAUAUUCCUAAAAGAAAGUGCACAUUUAAAAAUUUUCACUGCACAUCUGUGCAUUGCUACAUUUUUAAGGGCCUGCUAGGACUGGAAUUACAGGAGAUUUGAAGCUCACGACCGAGUAGCUCUGGCAAAGCUGCAUGGGGGAGGAAGGCUACUGAAAAUCAUGGGGGGAAAGGUAGAGCCUCUGCCAAAGAGGAGCAUUAAAAAAGGGUUCUAGCCGAGGAAACUGUCAGCUUUAUAUAUGGGAACUGGAAAUGGAAAAAUUGGUAGUGCCAUUGAACCUGAACAGCAGCUGUGAAAUCAGAAUUUACUCCCUAAUCUGAAUUAACUAAUCAAAACCAGGUCACUCCUCCUCCUUCUCUCCACUACCCACCGCAUCGCCCCUGGGUUAUUUUUCAUGACCAAUCGCAUUCUGCAGCAAAAUAAAUAAAGAGCAACAAAAACAGAAAUAGUAAAGGUCAAUGUGUCCCCACAAGACCCAAUGCACUUGAGAUUUAUCAAUGGAGCAAAUAACAUAGAUUUUUCACCUUUUGUCUUUUCAUCUUUGUGGUACAUAGACUUAGUAAAAAAGAGGAAGGUUGCAACCUCACCACCAAUGUACUCAAAUAGAAGCCAAGAAUCAUCUUUAAACCAUGACUUCUGAAAUCUAAGCUCUAAAGAAAACUAAAAGAGCACAGUGACAAGAAAAGGUGCUCACACAAGUUUGAAACUACCAGUGGAACCAGUUAGUCCUUCAGUCAAGCAUGUGCGCAAUCAAUUAAAUUCCAACUGUAAAACUGCAUUAAAAGUACAGAAAGAAAAAGCUGUCAGUAGGUCACCGAACAGUGUGUGUUUGAUGAAAUACUUUCUUUGGUUGCAUAUUUGAGAAAACCUGUUAUCUCCUUCCCUAGCAAAAGAAGACAAGACUCUAGAAGAACAUUAAGAACACGGUGUUUUGCUUGUGAAGGUGGUUAUGUGGUACAGGAGGGGCUCUUUGUCACCAGGUUGCUAUAUCAGCACCAAAAAAAUGUUCUUGUGGAAUAGCAUAGUGCUUAAAAUACAGUAAUUACUGUUACAGUAUGUGCACAGCAACGUAAGAACCGCAUCUAGAGCUAUACGUGGUACCGAGAGUUGAGAAACAGCUGUAAUUUUGGCUUUAAAUAUGUUUACGAGCAUUCUGAAUGGUUUAAGCUUGCUGUGCAGCAUAUGAUUUUAAUUUUCUUUAUGGAUAUAGGGGGGCAAUGAAAUGCUGACUUUUGAUAUAAUAAUCUUUCAGGUUUAGGAGGAACUAUAGGAGGCCAGUCAGUCCCCAAGCCUGCCCUCUUAAAUCUCUACUUAUAAAGUUCUCGGUGGUAGAUGUAAGUUUAAAAAAAAAUUAUACCUCACAUUAUAUAGUAUGUCUUAUAUCUUUGAUUUGAGUGAACCCUUUCAGUUGACUACUUAGGCUUGCAAAAUCAGGGAAAACCUGUAAAAUGGAGGCACAUAUCUUAUUUACAAAAUAAUGACUCCUUUCUUUGGAACAGAAUAAGUAGAGUAUUCCAAAGAAAAUUCAAUUUCAUUAUUUACUAUAUACAAAACUUAAGGAAUAGUCAUCUUUAUAUUGAAAUUCAUAUGUAAACAUACUUCAAAGCAAGUGCUAAAUUUGUCAUUUCUCAGGAAUUGCUAAAGCAGAUUUGCUUACAAUAAAAAAAAAGAAAAACAUUUGAAUUGCCUCUGGUUAUUGUAAGUUAAUUGAACCUACUUUGGUUUGUUUCAUUUAAAAAAACACAUCUCAGACCAGUUAGCAGUUGAAACAUUAGUGAUGGAGAAAAAUGGAUCCUACAAAAAAAGAUACACUUCAUGAAAAAUAAGUGAUGUCAUUUCCCUCAAAUGAUUUCUAGUAUGAAAGACUUAUAAAUAUCAAUUUGACUAAAACUAGAGAAAACAAACUUUGAUAAACAAGUCUUACUUGCUAAGGUGUGGACUCAGGUAGCUAAUUUCAUCUGCUCCUUAAAAAUAUUUUUUCGGCAUCAUAAUCUUUUUAGAAAUGUCUUAUUUUGUCACAAGGUACAAAGUUACUUCUCAAAUUUAAAAAAUGCUUUUGUCAAUCAAAUAUUUCUACCAGCUUCUAUUCACAUCAACAAAGUAUAGCAAAUGACACACUAAAAUCCCAGGAACAUAACGACAAUUAAGUUCCAAGUAGUUAAUGGCCAAUCUAUUGUGAUGUUAAAAAAAAAAAAAAAAGUGCUUGCAACACAUAAGCCAUUGCACGACAGGCUUGACCAGUUUCUAGACUUCCUUAGAUGUCAGUGUAGCAGGUGCAAGCCUGGGCUAACUAAACUUCAUUUUAUUUUCUCCUAGCUCAUAACUAGACUAUAUUUUCAAGCCUCCUUCCAACUAAGCUGGAGUCAUUGACCUGAGUUCUGUCUGAUGAAGUAUGGUUGAAGUUAUAUAUGAAACUUCAGACUUUCACAUCCUCCUUCAUUUCCCACACACUGACUGAAUAUAGAAGGGAAUGAAGUUCUAGAAGAUGACAGGGCCACAUGACCGAGUAAUCCUAGUCCUGACUGACUGUAUGGAACCAAGACAUUAGGGAGAAAUCUAUUUUUAUUAUGUGAAACUACUGACAUUUUGACUAAUGUAAGCAGGGACAUUGUUGUGUCUCCCACAAGUUAGGUUUCAACUGAAAACCAGAAUAAUAAUAAAGCCCAUUUUUUUAAAGACCCCUCAGAGAAGUAGUGAAUACUUUAAUUUAAAAACAUUUAUUUAGCACCUAGUCCAGGCACCACAUUGAGUUAAAAGGUUCAAGCUCUUCUCUCAGGAUGUUCAUUGUCCAAUGGUAAGGGGGAUAAAGCUCCUGAGAUCAAAAUACAAAAUGGUAGAAAUAUUUAAUAUAUGGGGCACGACACAUGGACAUAGGAGAGACUUAACACAGGCUGAAUGGCUUAUUGAGGGCUCCUCCGCAUGGUGGCAAUAAUUCCAAUGGAAGGAUUAGUGUGGGGGGAAGCACAUGAGAAAUGGAACCACAAGCAACAAUGGAGAUGCCUGAAAAUACGCUAUGCUCUAUGUGAUACUGUGAGAGACUCAUUCUCAAAGAAUUUACUGUCUAGUGAAAUUACAGCAUAGCAGGAGUCAAACCCCAGGUUCCAUCAGUGGGCUUCAUGACAGAAACAUCAGUUUUGCUCCAUUUAAAUAUAUAAACCCUCUGCAAAAAGAAAAAAGCUACAUACAUUCCCUCCCAACCCCGACACACUCCAACACACACAUACACACAGGACCAAAGAAGGGUCAUUUUGAUUCUGCAUGAAUGUGACAAGUUUUGCCAAUUCCCUGAAAGUAACAAAGAUGAGGCAGUCUUUCUAGUCUUCAGUUUUGGAAGAAACAUCUUUGUGGUCUGGCUAUAUGACAAUUCAAUCUUUUUGUGUUUUCUAAGAAUAUUAAACGCAUAGUUUCUGUUUUCUUAAAAGUCAGACUAAUAUUUGUGUGCAAUUAUUAUAUAUAGAUAUUGCUGGAAAAAGUUCUGUUGUAUCAUUGUUGGAGCCUCAUGUGUGUGAUGUUCAGAUACACUGAUUAUCAAUACAAGUGCAAUGCAUGCUGUACUAUAAUGGGAUGGUAUUUUUAAAUUAUUUUUUGUUUGGAUGGGAGAUGCUACUUUUCAUUUAUGCAUGCUCUUUUGACCACAAGAUGAGGGUCAAAAUGAUGAUGAACAUAAUGAGCAGAAUGAUACAGUUCCAUUACUUGGACUCAGGAAAAUAUGUAGAAAGAAGGCUUUAAAAAAAAAAAAUUGAAAAAAGCUCCCUGUAUUAGGAAUGCCAGAAGAUAAAAGUGGUCAAGGUAAUAUAAAUAACUAGACAUUAUGUUACAAGACUUUAGUUACUAGCUUUAGGCAAUAUACCAGCUUUGGGCAAAAGUAACUAAUAAAAUGUAUUCCAGCCAA